CAAAACUUUACAAUGCGGGMAACCGUGAUARGGGAACUCCGAGUGCCCGUUAAAUCGGGCUGUCCACCAGUUUAAAUAACUGGUGAAGAAAGGGCCGGGCAAGACCGGUGCCAGCCGCCGCGGUAAUACCGGCGGCUCGAGUGGUGGCCACUAUUACUGGGCUUAAAGCGUUCGUAGCUGGUUUGUUAAGUCUCUGGGGAAAUCUUCCGGCUUAACCGGAAGGCGUCUCAGGGAUACUGGCAGACUAGGGACCGGGAGAGGUGAGGGGUACUCCAGGGGUAGGAGUGAAAUCCUGUAAUCCUUGGGGGACCACCUGUGGCGAAGGCGCCUCACCAGAACGGCUCCGACAGUGAGGGACGAAAGCUGGGGGAGCAAACCGGAUUAGAUACCCGGGUAGUCCCAGCCGUAAACUAUGCGCGUUAGGUGUAUCGGUGACCACGAGUCACCGAGGUGCCGAAGAGAAAUCGUGAAACGUGCCGCCUGGGAAGUACGGUCGCAAGGCUGAAACUUAA
rnacentral:rRNA from 1 species